rnacentral:rRNA from 1 species
CCUACGGGCGGCAGCAGUGGGGGAUAUUGCACAAUGGGGGAAACCCUGAUGCAGCGACGCCGCGUGUGGGAAGACGGUCCUCUGGAUUGUAAACCACUUCACCCAGGGACGAAGAUGACGGUACCUGGGGAGGAAGCUCCGGCUAACUACGUACCAGCACCCCCGGUAAUACGUAGGGGGCGAGCGUUGUCCGAGAUUACUGGGGGUAAAGGGUGCGUAAGCGGGACUGCAAGUUGGAUGGAAAAGAUACUGGCUAAACCGGUGGCCGCGCGUGAAACUGCAGUUCUUGAGUGAAGUAGAGGCAGGCGGAAUUCCUAGUGUAGCGGUGAAAUGCGUAGAUAUUAGGAGGAACACCAGUGGCGAAGGCGGCCUGCUGGGCUUUUACUGACGCUGAGGCUCGAAAGUGUGGGGAGCAAACAGGAUUAGAUACCCUAGUAGUC